rnacentral:rRNA from 1 species
UACGAAGGGGGCUAGCGUGGCUCGGAAUUACUGGGCGUAAAGGGCGCGUAGGCGGAUAGUUUAGUCAGAGGUGAAAGCCCAGGGCUCAACCCUGGAAUUGCCUUUGAUACUGGCUAUCUUGAGUUCGGGAGAGGUGAGUGGAACUCCGAGUGUAGAGGUGAAAUUCGUAGAUAUUCGGAAGAACACCAGUGGCGAAGGCGAAUCACUGGCCCGAUACUGACGCUGAGGCGCGAAAGCGUGGGGAGCAAAAAGG